rnacentral:rRNA from 1 species
UACGUAGGGUGCAGGCGUUAAUCGGAAUUACUGGGCGUAAAGCGUGCGCAAGCGGUUUGCUAAGAGAGAUGUGAAAUCCCCGGGCUUAACCUGGGAACUGCGUUUCUAACUGGCAGGCUUGAGUGUGGCAGAGGGGGGUGGAAUUCCACGUGUAGCAGUGAAAUGCGUAGAGAUGUGGAGGAACACCGAUGGCGAAGGCAGCCCCCUGGGCUAACACUGACGCUCAUGCACGAAAGCGUGGGGAGCAAACAGG